GCUGGCGGCGUGCCUAAUACAUGCAAGUCGAGCGGAUUGAUUCAGAGCUUGCUCUGAUGAUGUCAGCGGCGGACGGGUGAGUAACACGUGGGUAACCUGCCUGACAGACUGGGAUAACGCUUGGAAACGAGUGCUAAUACCAGAUAGUCUUUUGAACUGCAUGGUUCGAAAGGGAAAGAAGCUAUCGCUUCACUGUCAGAUGGACCCGCGGCGCAUUAGCUAGUUGGUGAGGUAACGGCUCACCAAGGCGACGAUGCGUAGCCGACCUGAGAGGGUGACCGGCCACACUGGGACUGAGACACGGCCCAGACUCCUACGGGAGGCAGCAGUAGGGAAUCUUCCGCAAUGGGCGCAAGCCUGACGGAGCAACGCCGCGUGAGUGAUGAAGGCCUUCGGGUUGUAAAACUCUGUCUUCUGUGAAGAACAAGCCUGUGAGUGGAAAGCUCAGGCCUUGACGGUAACAGAGGAGGAAGCCCCGGCUAACUACGUGCCAGCAGCCGCGGUAAUACGUAGGGGGCAAGCGUUGUCCGGAAUCACUGGGCGUAAAGCGCGCGCAGGCGGCGAUCUACGUCCGGGGUGAAAGCCCAGAGCUCAACUCUGGGACUGCCUUGGAUACGGGAUCGCUUGAGGAUCGGAGAGGCAAGGGGAAUUCCACGUG
rnacentral:rRNA from 1 species